CCCUCCCUCUGGCUUCAUGCCUAACACAUGCAAGUCGAACGAGAUCCUUCGGGGUCUAGUGGCGCACGGGUGCGUAACGCGUGGGAAUCUGCCCUUAGGUUCGGAAUAACAGUUAGAGAUGACUGCUAAUACCGGAUGAUGACGUUAAGUCCAAAGAUUUAUCGCCUGAGGAUGAGCCCGCGUAGGAUUAGCUAGUUGGUGUGGUAAAGGCGCACCAAGGCGACGAUCCUUAGCUGGUCUGAGAGGAUGAUCAGCCACACUGGGACUGAGACACGGCCCAGACUCCUACGGGAGGCAGCAGUGGGGAAUAUUGGACAAUGGGCGCAAGCCUGAUCCAGCAAUGCCGCGUGAGUGAUGAAGGCCUUAGGGUUGUAAAGCUCUUUUACCCGGGAUGAUAAUGACAGUACCGGGAGAAUAAGCCCCGGCUAACUCCGUG
rnacentral:rRNA from 1 species